GCCUUGCUAGCUCAAUGGUAGAGCACUGAACUUCUACUAGAUAUUCAGAGGCUGUGGGUUCGAGUCCCACGUAGGGCU